rnacentral:lncRNA from 1 species
UCGGGGCAGACGGCAGGACCGGGGCUGAUGCUGUGCCUGCCUGGCCCGGCCCCGCCGGCGAGGCCUCUCCGGGGCGAGGAUCAGCAGCUGGACUGACAAACGAGUGCGAGAGGGGAGGGUGGAGAAAUCCCCUGGUGAAGUGUGGCUGAUCUUCCUCUUAGAAGAUGCUCAGCCACAAUGGUACAUCCACCUGGGCUCACUGUAAGGAAUUCUAAUUACUGUUAACAGGAAGGAAAUUUAAGAAUGGAGAAAGACUUAAGGAAAUAUUUUUUAAAGGUCUACUAGCACCACAAGACGUAAAGGCACGUAUCAUUAGUCCAGAAAGGACAAAAGCAAUGAU